GAUGAACGCUGGCGGCGUGCCUAAUACAUGCAAGUCGAGCGAACGGACGAGAAGCUUGCUUCUCUGAUGUUAGCGGCGGACGGGUGAGUAACACGUGGAUAACCUACCUAUAAGACUGGGAUAACUUCGGGAAACCGUAGCUAAUACCGGAUAAUAUUUUGAACCGCAUGGUUCAAAAGUGAAAGACGGUCUUGCUGUCACUUAUAGAUGGAUCCGCGCUGCAUUAGCUAGUUGGUAAGGUAACGGCUUACCAAGGCAACGAUGCAUAGCCGACCUGAGAGGGUGAUCGGCCACACUGGAACUGAGACACGAUCCAGACUCCUACGGGAGGCAGCAGUAGGGAAUCUUCCGCAAUGGGCGAAAGCCUGACGGAGCAACGCCGCGUGAGUGAUGAAGGUCUUCGGAUCGUAAAACUCUGUUAUUAGGGAAGAACAUAUGUGUAAGUAACUGUGCACAUCUUGACGGUACCUAAUCAGAAAGCCGCGGCUAACUACGUG
rnacentral:rRNA from 1 species